rnacentral:rRNA from 1 species
GAUGUACGCUGGCGGCGUGCCUAAUACAUGCAAGUCGAGCGAACGGACGAGAAGCUUGCUUCUCUGAUGUUAGCGGCGGACGGGUGAGUAACACGUGGAUAACCUACCUAUAAGACUGGGAUAACUUCGGGAAACCGGAGCUAAUACCGGAUGAUAUUUUGAACCGCAUGGUUCAAAAGUGAAAGACGGUCUUGCUGUCACUUAUAGAUGGAUCCGCGCUGCAUUAGCUAGUUGGUAAGGUAAUGGCUUACCAAGGCAACGAUGCAUAGCCGACCUGAGAGGGUGAUCGGCCACACUGGAACUGAGACACGGUCCAGACUCCUACGGGAGGCAGCAGUAGGGAAUCUUCCGCAAUGGGCGAAAGCCUGACGGAGCAACGCCGCGUGAGUGAUGAAGGUCUUCGGAUCGUAAAACUCUGUUAUUAGGGAAGAACAUAUGUGUAAGUAACUGUGCACAUCUUGACGGUACCUAAUCAGAAAGCCACGGCUAACUACGUG